AAUCUAAAGUUUGUGUAAAGAUCAUUGCUCAGUAUGAUACAUUAAUGGUUGAUUAUGAAUUACUUACACAGAUACAUACAUAUUCUAAAGAUGGCUUUCUGUUUUGUUUACAGUUGAUGCCUUCCUUGACAUUUCUUGUGUUGUCGAAACAUCUUCUAUUCUCAAAGUCCUGCCAGACUUCUCUCUUGCUUUCCAUCUGUUUUUCUGUGCCCCCUUAAACUUCAUCCCCUGCCUCCUUUCUCUUUUCUGCCUUUUCUAUCGGUCACAGACACUGUUCUGUACCAUCUGUAUUAAAGGACCAGGUGGUCACAGACACUGUUCUGUACCAUCUGUAUUAAAGGACCAGGUGGUCACAGACACUGUUCUGUACCAUCUGUAUUAAAGGACCCAGGUGGUCACAGACACCGUUCUGUACCAUCUGUAUUAAAGGACCCAGGUGGUCACAGACACUGUUCUGUACCAUCUGUAUACCCAGUGAAUAAGGACCCAGGUGGUCACAGACACCGUUCUGUACCAUCUGUAUACCCAGUGAAUAAGGACCCAGGUGGUCACAGACACCGUUCUGUACCAUCUGUAUACCCAGUGAAUAAGGACCCAGGUGGUCACAGACACCGUUCUGUACCAUCUGUAUACCCAGUGAAUAAGGACCCAGGUGGUCACAGACACCGUUCUGUGCCAUCUGAAAAACUUCUGAAUAAGGACACAGACGGUCACAGACACUGCUCUGUACCCUCUGAAUACCCUUUCAGGUGACCUUAAGAAUCAAACCAUCUGCAGUCAGAGACCUCCUUCAUUCUGACCUUAUCUACAGUUGAAGACCGUCACACAUUCACAACAUUCACUGAAGCUGUAGUCAUAUAUUUAAUAGCAGUACAUAUAAUAUUCCCCCUUUUUUAUAGUCUAGAGUAUAACUUACUACAUACUGUUGUAUCUACUUUUCUUCAUUUAGUUAAUUGCCAUUAUAUUGUUUAUUCAUUUUUAAGCCAAC